rnacentral:tRNA from 1 species
CAAGAAUUAGUUUUUUGAUAAAAUUUUAAUUUUGGAGAUUAAAGAUAAGUUUAUUCUUAUUCUUGA